rnacentral:rRNA from 1 species
GAGCUCAAAUUUAUAAUCUGGCACCUUCGGUGUCCGAGUUGUAAUCUCUAGAAAUGUUUUCCGCGUUGGACCGCACACAAGUCUGUUGGAAUACAGCGGCAUAGUGGUGAGACCCCCGUAUAUGGUGCGGACGCCCAGCGCUUUGUGAUACAUUUUCGAAGAGUCGAGUUGUUUGGGAAUGCAGCUCAAAUUGGGUGGUAAAUUCCAUCUAAAGCUAAAUAUUGGCGAGAGACCGAUAGCGAACAAGUACCGUGAGGGAAAGAUGAAAAGCACUUUGGAAAGAGAGUUAACAGUACGUGAAAUUGUUGGAAGGGAAACGCUUGAAGUCAGACUUGCUUGCCGAGCAAUCGGUUUGCAGGCCAGCAUCAGUUUUCCGGGAUGGAUAAUGGUAGAGAGAAGGUAGCAGUUUCGGCUGUGUUAUAGCUCUCUGCUGGAUACAUCUUGGGGGACUGAGGAACGCAGUGUGCCUUUGGCGGGGGUUUCGACCUCUUCACACUUAGGAUGCUGGUGGAAUGGCUUUAAACGACCCGUCUUGAAACACGGACCA